GGUGGCUCAGUGGUAGAGUGCUUGCCUUGCAUGCAUGAGGCCCCGGGUUCGAUUCCCCAGCACCA
rnacentral:tRNA from 1 species